UACGAAGGGGCUAGCGUUGUUCGGAAUCACUGGGCGUAAAGCGUAUGUAGGCGGAUUGUUAAGUCAGGGGUGAAAUCCCGAGGCUCAACCUCGGAACUGCCUUUGAUACUGGCUGUCUUGAGUCCGGGAGAGGUGAGUGGAACUCCUAGUGUAGAGGUGAAAAUUCGUAGAUAUUAGGAAGAACACCAGUGGCGAAGGGCGG
rnacentral:rRNA from 1 species